rnacentral:rRNA from 1 species
AGCGAACGCUGGCGGCAGGCCUAACACAUGCAAGUCGAACGGACCCUUCGGGGUUAGUGGCGGACGGGUGAGUAACACGUGGGAGCGUGCCUUUAGGUUCGGAAUAGCUCCUGGAAACGGGUGGUAAUGCCGAAUUUGCCCUUCGGGGGAAAGAUUUAUCGCCUUUAGAGCGGCCCGGGUCUGAUUGGCUAGUUGGUGAGGUAAUGGCACACCAAGGCGACGAUCAGUAGCUGGUCUGAGAGGCUGACCAGCCACAUUGGGACUGUCACACGGCCCAAACGCCUACGGGAGGCAGCAGGGGGGAAUCUGGCGCAAUGGGCGAAAGCUGGACGCAGCCAUGCCGCGUGGAUGAUGAAGGUCUUAGGAUUGUAAAAUCCUUUCACCGGUGAAGAUAAUGACUGUAGCCGGAGAAGAAGCCCCGGCUAACUUCGUGCCAGCCGCCGCCGUAACAC